AUGCUCACUUCUGCAGCACAUAUACUAAAACUGGAACAGUGCAGAGCCCUGUUAACAUGACCCCUGUGCAAGGAUGACACACAAAUUCAUAAACCAUCUCAUAUUUAA
rfam:Erinaceus europaeus unplaced genomic scaffold scaffold00047, whole genome shotgun sequence